rnacentral:lncRNA from 12 species
CACGCCUGUAAUGGAGUCCUGUUACCAUGGGAAUAACAGAGCUCCCUCUCAGAAUAGCAUUUAGUUCUGACAAUUGAAGAAGCUAGAGAAUUUCAAUUAAGCCAUAGUCUUAACACCUACCAGCACCUUCAGGUUCCCAAGUAUCGCCAGCCUGCGGGAGAAGAUGCUGACUUCUGGCCAUGUUUCAUGGUAGCACAUGUAUCCAAUGACCCAGGUUCCUCAAGAGAAGAUAUCAUCACCUCUUUUUCUCAUUUCUGCCUCUCCAGCACAGCACCACCCCAGGAUCUGAAAUGAAUUUGACACUUGGAUAUCAGCCAUUCGAGGUAAAUGUCCUUUUGUCUGGAAAAUCUCAGACCAUUUCUGCCCAAAGAGAACCUCUGUUUCA